rnacentral:tRNA from 1 species
GCCGAAAUAGCUCAUUUGGGAGAGCGUCAGACUGAAGAUCUGAAGGUCCCUG